rnacentral:rRNA from 1 species
UACGAAGGGGGCUAGCGUUGCUCGGAAUGACUGGGCGUAAAGGGCGCGUAGGCGGAUGGCACAGUCAGAUGUGAAAUUCCCGGGCUUAACCUGGGGCUGCAUUUGAUACGUGUGAUCUAGAGUGAGGAAGAGGGUCGUGGAAUUCCCCAGUGUAGAGGUGAAAUUCGUAGAUAUUGGGAAGAACACCGGUGGCGAAGGCGGCGACCUGGUCCUUGACUGACGCUGAGGCGCGAAAGCGUGGGGAGCAAACAGG